GCAUCACACAUCCAUAGCGUGACGGAAAAGAGAAAACUUCGGUUUCCUUACAAAUUAGUCCCUCUCCAUCUAAUUUCAUAGUUUCCACCCAAAAUCUUUUAUUUCCAAGUGAAAUCAAGUGUCUAGCAAUAUCAAAAGUUUAGUUUUCAAGAUAGAAUUCAUGAAUUCAUGGAUGGAGGUGGGAGAAAGUUAAGAAAGUGUAAGAAGUCAAGGUGACAAGGUAAGAGAUCAAGAGUUCUCUUGUGAAUUUUGUGAUUUAUUGAAGUAGAAAUAAAAGAGUAAUUUUUUGUACUUCUAGAGUUCUACUUAUUUUCAAAGGACUAAAUUGAAUUAUGUGAUGAAAUAAGUGCGAUGUGUGUGAAUUUAAUUAAAAAUAAUAUUAGUGUAAAGGACUUCAUGAGAGUUGAUAUCUAGAAAUUAUGAGAAUUAAAGAUAGCAAGUGAUAUGUUAAGGGAUAUAAAAGAUGGAAGUAUGAAUAAGUUUAUGUGUACAUGAUAUGUAAGUUGCAGCAGUGGUCCGACUUCAAAAAUUUAUCAAAAACUGUAUAGAGUGAAUUAGAAAGAGAGUUUUAGAUGCUUAGAAAUAUUAGUGGGUCUAGCUUCUUAUGAAUCAAACGGAAUCAAAUUCCAAAUUUUGUGCUAAGAGAAAAUAGAAUUUAGUGAAGAAGAUUCAAGCUGUACUCAAGCAGCAUCCUUGAGUCGACUUUAAAAAAGAUCCGGUAUUAACUUGAUUUGGAUUAAAUUUUACAACUUUUAUGAUAAAAAUUUCAUUGAGUCUAGUUUUAUAUAAAAGAAAUGUAUAAUCAUUUAGAAUAUAAUUAAUGAGAAAAAUAAGUUUUGGUGAGACAGCUUGAGGAUGCUUUCAGGCUCUCCUGAUUCUACUUUGAAAAUUCAUUAAAAAUUGUAUAAAAAGAAUUAAUUUAUGUAAUUUAUAUAUUUAAAAAACUUAACGAGUUCAUUUUUAGGAGAAAUAAAUACAAAUAUUAUACGAAUUUUGUAUUAAAAGAUAAAUAUUUUUUAACGGAAGAAAGUUAAAGUUGUCUAGCAGUAAAACACGAGAGGAUUUUUUAUAAGAAAAAAUUAUAUUAGUAACAGGAUGUUUGGUUUCGAAUGAAACUUGAUUAUCAAUUUCAAUAAAUGAGAUAUAAAUAAAAAAGUGAUUAUUACUUAAAGACUGUUUUGUUUUGAAAGUUAAGCAUUAAGAUUUAUGAAAUAAUUGUAAAUCGAGUGAUUUGAAAACUUAAUUAAAUAUAUAUGAUUAUGAAUGAAAAUAUUAUGUGUAUUUUGCAAGUGGAUUAAGUAUAAAAUGACAAGAAUUAUUCAUGUAAUAGUGCGUGAUAUAUUCGUGUCAUGUUUGGAGGAUACUUGGAAAGUGAAGGAUAAUCGUAAAAUGAAUUUAAAAAGAACUGUGCAUAAGUGAAUGAAAUCGUGCAAUGGCCUUAAUAAACAAGAUAGAACCUGUGGGAUAAAAUUGACAUACCAUAGGAAUACUUAAACGCUCCUGUGUUAUUCGCACUCCUGUGCCCGUGUUGGGGUUUUCUAGCACUUUUGUGCUCCAAUUUAUUACGUGCAUCUUUCUCGAUUCUCCAUCAUUUACUAAGGGCUAAGUGGAGAAAAUAACAAGCGAAGAAGUGAUGAGUAAAGAAAAUGAAAAGUGAGAUAACUGGUGAGUGACAAAAUUAUUUAUAAACAUCUUACAUGUAUUAAUUAAUUGAUAUAUCUUUCCAAAAAUGAACUAAUGUAAUUUAAUGAUAUUAAUGUUAAGGUUAAAUACUUAGAUAGUGUUAUUAAAAUUUCAUGAAGUUUAACGCGUUGUUUUUAAACGUGUAGUGUGCAGGAAGUAAUCGUGUAUGAAAAGUUUGAACGGGGUAAUUCAAAUCACAUCUUAUCAAAGCAAGGUCUGCGAAUUAAGUACUUGAAUUAUGGACAUUAGAGUGACAUGUAAUUAAGAGUUCAAUUAGUAUGAAUGUGAAAGUUAAUUAGUGAAAUGUACUAAGAACAUUGUGGUCAUUAGUUAUAAAAUGAAAUUGUGACAUUUUGGAUGGCUUAUUUGGUACUUAGUGAAGUGUUUGGCUUGAAACGUAACAUUCUUUACUCGAGUUUAGGUUAAGAGGUGUUGCAUGGACCGACUGAUUUGGUAGGGAGCUUAUUGGAGUAUCGGCCCCCAAAAAAAAUGGUUAGAUUAGUCGAUUCAUGGACCACCCAAAACCGGUUGAAUUGGGCUUAAAAGUUGGUUGAAUCAAUAGUUGAAUCGUUUUUUUAAUAAUUUAUUUAAUAAGUCGUACAAAAAAUAUAUGAUAUAACCAAUUUAACUAUCGGCCUGGUUAGAUCGAGAACUACCAGAUACUGAUUUAGAAUGAAAGGUUGGAUUAAUUGACUUACGAAUUAAUUCAAACAGAAUUAAAAAAUCAAUUAAAUUUGUUUUCUAUACUUUCAAUAUAUAUUAAUUUUUAUGAUUUUUGACAAUUUAUUCAAUUAAAUCAGAUAAACUGAUUGAACCGAUUAAAUCGAUAGCGUAAUUGGACCAAGAAUUGGAUUUUUGAAAACAUUGGUUUGUCUUAAAAAUACGUUCGAAAAUUAAACGUAGGAUUUAUUAAAUCAGCUAAGCAGUGUUGGG
rnacentral:lncRNA from 1 species